UACGUAGGGUGCAAGCGUUAAUCGGAAUUACUGGGCGUAAAGCGUGCGCAGGCGGUUAUAUAAGUCAGAUGUGAAAUCCCCGGGCUCAACCUGGGAACUGCAUUUGAGACUGUAUAGCUAGAGUACGGUAGAGGGGGAUGGAAUUCCGCGUGUAGCAGUGAAAUGCGUAGAUAUGCGGAGGAACACCGAUGGCGAAGGCAAUCCCCUGGACCUGUACUGACGCUCAUGCACGAAAGCGUGGGGAGCAAACAGG
rnacentral:rRNA from 1 species